rnacentral:rRNA from 1 species
CGGAGGGUGCAAGCGUUAUCCGGAUUCACUGGGUUUAAAGGGUGCGUAGGUGGGUUGGUAAGUCCGUGGUGAAAUCCCCAAGCUUAACUUGGGAACUGCCGUGGAUACUAUCAAUCUUGAAUAUCGUUGAGGUUAGCGGAAUAUGUCAUGUAGCGGUGAAAUGCUUAGAUAUGACAUAGAACACCGAUAGCGGAGGCAGCUAACUAAGCGAUCAUUGACACUGAGGCACGAAAGCGUGGGGAGCAAACAGGAUUAGAUACCCUGGUAGUCCACGCCCUAAACGAUGAUUACUCGACAUACGCGAUACACUGUGUGUGUCUGAGCGAAAGCAUUAAGUAAUCCACCUGGGAAGUACGAUCGCAAGAUUG